rnacentral:rRNA from 1 species
ACGCCGACUAAUCCCCGAUGGGAUAUUGUGCCGCAUGGCACGAUAUUGAAAGUUACGGCGGCGACGGAUUGGCUCGCGUCCGAUUAGCUUGUUGGCGGGGUAACGGCCCACCAAGGCUACGAUCGGUAGGGGUUCUGAGAGGAAGGCCCCCCACAAUGGGACUGAGACACGGCCCAUACUCCUACGGGAGGCAGCAGUGAGGAAUAUUGGUCAAUGGGCGGAAGCCUGAACCAGCCAUGCCGCGUGCGGGAAGGAGGCCCUAUGGGCUGUGAACCGCUUUUGCCUGGGGGCAAUAAGGGCGUCGCGCACGCCCGAUGAGAGUACCAGGCGAAUAAGCAUCGGCUAACUCCGUGCCAGCAGCCGCGGUAAUACGGGGGAUGCGAGCGUUAUCCGGAUUCAUUGGGUUUAAAGGGUGCGUAGGCUGUGCGUCAAGUCGGGGGUGAAAUUCCGGUGCUCAACACCGGGGCUGCCCUUGAUACUGUCGCGCUGGAGUGCGGAUGCCGCCGGAGGAAUGAGUGGUGUAGCGGUGAAAUGCUUAGAUAUCACUCAGAACACCGAUUGCGAAGGCAUCUGGCGAAUCCGUAACUGACGCUGAGGCACGAAAGCGUGGGGAUAGAACAGGAUUAGAUACCCUGGUAUUCCACGCCGUAAACGAUGAUGGCUAACCGCCGGCGACACACUGUCGGUGGCCAAGCGAAAGCGAUAAGCCAUCCACCUGGGGAGUACGUCGGCAACGAUGAAACUCAAAGGAAUUGACGGGGG